rnacentral:lncRNA from 1 species
CCGAUAUUUUACCGCAUUAAUUGCAUAGGUGAUUUUUGAUUUAUAGCAAUGGAGGUCUUGGGUUUCUUAAAAUCUUUUGAUUAUUUGUGGGAUUCGAUUAUGGUGAUGAUUGAUUUUGGGUCUCUAGUUUUGUUGAUGAUGAAUUUCUGAGUUUGAAGGAUUAUGAUGAAGCAAAUGGCUCUAGUGAUAAGUAAUUUUGGUGAAGAUCGUUCCAAUGAUAAGCUAUUUAGGCUAAGAUGGUUGUGGGAGCAUUUUAGUCAUAAUUCCAAUGACGAAUGUAACUCUAUAUUAAAUUAAGGAUUUGAGAAGAAUACUUUCUGAUACCAAUUACAUCUUUGCUCUGUUCCCGAGUUUGUGUUCCCGAGUUUACUAAUGGGAAGAAGUGAAAGGAAGUGGAAAGAAAGUGAAAAAUAUGUGUUCUUGAGUUUCAUUAACGGAUGGAAGUGGAAGAAAAAUCUUAUGUUAUAACUCUCCUUCCGAAAUGGAAGAAAGGGAAAGGAUGACAAUUAAAAGUCUUUACAGUUUACUAUCAUAAAACCCAACAAAGGUUAUAAUCGUAGAAUUAUUCAUUCAUUUUUCUCUUACUUUCAACUCGGGAACACGUAAGAACUUUACUUUAUUUACUUCCCAUCCCUUUCCUUUCUCUCAGGAAUUCUCCCUUUUCUUUUCUUUCCUUUUCUUUAGCAAACUCGACAAUAGAUUAAGGAGAGUAAAAAAGGAAGUGA